rnacentral:rRNA from 1 species
AAGUGUGGCCAUACCUGCUGGUCAAUGCCCAAUCUUGUCAGAUCUCAGAAGCUAAGCAGGAUUGGACCUGCUUAGUACUUGGAUGAUGGUCGGAAGGGUCGAUGACAGAAUUUGGCCACCUCACUUU